rnacentral:tRNA from 1 species
GCAGUGGUGGUUCAGUGGUAGAAUGAUUAUACUCCAUGUGGGAGACCCGGGUUGGAUUCCUGGCCUCUGCA